UACAGAGACUGCAAGCGUUAUUCGGAUUCACUGGGCGUAAAGGGUGCGCAGGCGGCCGUAUGUGUGAGGCGUGAAAGCCCGGGGCUUAACCCGGAAUUGCACCUCAAACUAUACGGCUAGAGCAUUGGAGAGGGUAGCAGAAUUCAUGGUGUAGCAGUGAAAUGCGUAGAUAUCAUGAGGAAUACCAGAGGCGAAGCGGCUACCUGGACAAUUGCUGACGCUCAGCACGAAGCGUGGGAGCAAACAGG
rnacentral:rRNA from 1 species